GACAGAGGGUGCAAACGUUUGUUCGGAUUUACUGGGCGUAAAGCGCGUGUAGGCGGCUUGGCAAGUUGAAUGUGAAAGCCCACGGCUCAACCGUGGAAGCGCAUCCAAAAACUGCUUCGCUGGAGUCUCGGAGAGGAAGGUGGAAUGCUUGGUGUAGAGGUGAAAUUCGUAGAUAUCAAGCAGAACACCUGCGGCGAAGGCGGCCUUCUGGACGAUGACUGACGUGAGACGCGAAAAGCGUGGGGGAGCAAAACAGG
rnacentral:rRNA from 1 species